CCUACGGGUGACAGCAGUGAGGAAUAUUGGUCAAUGGGCGCGAGCCUGAACCAGCCAAGUAGCGUGAAGGAUGACUGCCCUACGGGUUGUAAACUUCUUUUAUAAAGGAAUAAAGUGAGGCACGUGUGCCUUUUUGUAUGUACUUUAUGAAUAAGGAUCGGCUAACUCCGUGCCAGCCGCCGCGGUAAUACGGAGGAUCCGAGCGUUAUCCGGAUUUAUUGGGUUCAAAGGGAGCGUAGAUGGGGUGUUAAGUCAGUUGUGAAAUUUUGCGGCUCAACCGUAAAAUUGCAAUUGAUCCUGGCAGUCUUGAGUACAGUUGAGGUAGGCGGAAGGCGUGGUGUAGCGGUGAAAUGCUUAGAUAUCACGAAGAACUCCGAUUGCGAAGGCAGCUUACUAAACUGCCACUGACAUUGAUGCUCGAAAGUGUGGGUAUCAAACAGGAUUAGAUACCCCAGUAGUC
rnacentral:rRNA from 1 species